UGUUUUUCAGUGGUAAGGACUCUAGAAGUAAUGAUUCUUGCAGACUAAUUGCCCCCAAAAUAAUUCUUUAGCCCACUGUUUGAUACAGUUUUACCUGUCAAGCUAAAGGGAGAUGUCAGCAAGUUAAACCUGUUUGCACGAGGCUUAUUUGAUGUGAAAAGCAGGCGGGAGCCUGGCAGGGGAGGAUUCUCCCAGCUGAGAAUUACAAAAGCACAUCCUGGUUUUUAGAGACAAGUUCAGAGGCAGGCCCGUAACAUCAGCCAGGCACGGGACCACGAUCAGCACAAAGCCUCGGCCCAGGCUCAGCGAGGACGUCUGCUGGCACCCUCAGCAUCACAGAGAAGGUUGCUUCAGGGUUCCGUUUUUAGGGCUGAGCUUUGCCUCCUCUCGUUAUGAUCGGACGCUGGGUGCUGAGGGUCUGCAGCUUCUGGUUGUGCCCACGGAGCCAAAGAACUUCCCCAUAAGCCACAACUGCAGCUGGAGCCUCGGGCACUCUGGUAACACAGGCAGGUUAUAAUUCACAAACAUCCCCAGAGGCUCCUGUGCCAUCGGGAAACAGGGAGGACGGGUGCAGCAAGCUCUGGCAGUGGCUCAGGAGUAGAAGACACGGACCGUAUGUGUGCGGGGGGCUGCUCCAGACCUGCUUGAAUGCAGUUACCUCCGUGGUGCUUCAUCAGCGGUUUCCACAUAAAGAGUAUUUUGGAAGAAGCAGAAAAAUGCUUUGUGCAAUGGAAAAUACCAAAAAGAACUUGGGAUGGUAGAAUGUAAAUAACUAACUGACCAAAUCGGCUUUCUCUUCUUGGAGAGGAUCCAUAACACAGAUGCUGGUGGCUAUAUUGUCUUUUGAAUGGCUCUGUCCUGUUCCUGCCUCAGCUGCCUGUACCUCCUGCUCUGCCGUCACACUGCUAGGCUCCCUGCGUUGCCACCCUUGAUUUGUCCAAAUAACGGUCUUUCGAAGAAUAAUGCCCCUUUACUCAAGGUUGAGAAAUGGCUGAAUCAGUGAAAGCAGCGCUUGGAAGUUUUCCUGGGAAGUUGCUGUCUCAAGUACUGGUCAGGACCUCAUCCAGCUCAGCCCCUGAGAAAUGCUGAUGCUGCAAACCCCGCUGGGUUUUCCUGGCUUCAGGUGUGAUUCACCACUUUAAUGAAACCUUUGGGUUAUCUUAUGGAGGGAGAGACGGCUCACCUUCGGGAGAGAACGAUAGAAUCACACUUAUCUGCGGGUUCCAGUAGAAAAGAAGAAGGGAGCAAUCAGUUCUCCUCUCACAGCCGGGCCCUGGGAGCUCAUUAGAUUGAACUAAUGUGAUGAAGAGCUAAAGUUCACCCAACAAAAUAAGUAUCUCAGGGGAAGAAUAACCUUCCUUGACAGGAGUUUCCAAAGAAAAGAUAAUUAAGACUUCGAGGAUCUUGCAUACACCGCUGCUGGGGACACGGGUGCUGUGGGGAUGCAAAUACGCCUUUGAACUUGCAUUUCUCCUUUUCCACCAUCUCUCCUCGUGCUGCCCACGGACCCAGAUCUGCAGGAGUAGGAAGCCCUUCGCUCCUGUUCCAGGAAUAGGAUUUCCACGGCUGCAAAGUUGUGUUUCCAAGGGGAAUCGUGGAGGCAGGUUUCCCCGACAGCCAUCGCUGGUAGAAAGACCACGGGCUUGCCCUGCGCUUGCAAGGACACGGGCUGCGUGACAAGCGCUGGGCUUGGUCCUUCUCAGCAUCCCGAGCCCUCCUCUGUGCCGGCAUUUGACUUCUGAUGAAGGUUUAAUGGCCUCAACCCCUGGCACAGGGAGCCGGAGGAAAAACUCCCAUUGUAAAACCCAGCCUGGGAGAUCACUGGAGGGGAAGGAGGGAGUGAGCGGCUGCGUGGUGCUCAGUUGCCCUCCGAGCUGAAACCACGGCACAUCUUCACUAUAUAGAGAUCUUGGAAAAUGUGAGUUAACCCAGUGAGGCCCUGUUAUGCUGUUCAAGUGAUGUAAGGAUGUGAACUACUUCUUAAUCUAAAAGUCUUUUAUCAGAGAGAUAUUCUUGUAAUUCUGGUGUUAGGUAGCAAUAUCGUGAAGAUAUUUCUGUAAAUAUGCUUGAAAUGUAUAGAAGGCAGCUCAGGGGAGUUGCUGAGGGCGUGCAAAGCUUUUCUGUGCGUCGGCAGUGAGGUUUAUAGUGGUAGAAGGGCUGGAGAGUUUUGUACGGGUUUGGAAUGGGGUGCUGGAGUCGGGUCAGUACAACCACAGUACAGGGGUACCUCAGGCACAGCCGCCUGGGCUGGGGGGGGCGCUGCAAACCCAUCGCCCUCGUGGGGGGGCACAGUGCUUCCAGGUCAUUUUGCCCUCUGAGGAACUCGGCACAGCAGAGGAACUCGCACCAGGAUCUGCUGCCGAAAGCGGCGCCCAAACUUAAGGGUGCACCAAAACGGCUCUCGACCACUUUGCAUCUUCAAAACGGCACUGAACCGAACCCAAAACGUCAGCCAAGGUGAGAAACCUCCGUCUGCUAUGUGACAAGGCAGGGUCUGGUGUGAUGGGGGCCGUUCCUUCGGCAGGAGCCUGGGAACAUUACUGUCAGCCUAAGCAGAGCGAAAGUAAAGAUGCAAAUGGGCCUUUCAGAUAACCUUCAAUUCCAUAAACUAGGAAUGGCAAAAAAUCAUCAGCAUCAUAUAUUAUUUUAUAUAAUAUAU